AAAGGAAUUGACGGGGGCCCGCACAAGCGGUGGAGCGUGUGGUUUAAUUCGAUGCUAAGCGAAGGACCUUACCAAGGUUUGACAUGCUGAUAGUAGUGAAUUGAAAGAGGAACGACCACACUUUGUGUGGAGUCAGCACAGGUGGUGCACGGCCGUCGUCAGCUCGUGCCGUGAGGUGUUGGGUUAAGUCCCGCAACGAGCGCAACCCCUGCUCUUAGUUGCCAGCGGUAAGGCCGGGCACUCUAGGAGGACCGCCGCCGACGAGGCGGAGGAAGGGGGGGAUGACGUCAGGUAUCGUGCCCCUUAUAUCUUGGGCGACACACGCGCUACAAUGGGUUGGACAGAAGGGACCGAGACAGCAAUGUGGAGGAAAUCCUCAAACCAACCCCCAGUUCAGAUUGCAGGCUGCAACCCGCCUGCAUGAAGCCGGAAUCGCUAGUAAUCGCAGAUCAGCCAAGCUGCGGUGAAUACGUUCCCGGGCCUUGCACACACCGCCCGU
rnacentral:rRNA from 1 species